UACGGAGGGGGCAAGCGUUAUUCGGAUUUACUGGGCGUAAAGGGUGCGUAGGCGGCUGUGCAAGUCCGAUGUGAAAUCUUCACCGCUCAACGGGAAGAGGUCAUUGGAAACUGCGCAGCUCGAGUAUGGUAGAGGCGAGCGGAAUUCCUGGUGUAGCGGUGGAAUGUGUAGAUAUCAGGAAGAACACCCGUGGCGAAGGCGGCUCGCUGGGCCAUCACUGACGCUGAGGCACGAAAGCGUGGGGAGCAAACGGG
rnacentral:rRNA from 1 species